AUUGAACGCUGGCGGCAUGCCUAACACAUGCAAGUAGAACGAGUGGCGGACGGGUGAGUAGUGUCUGGACAACUGCCCGAUGGAGGGGGAUAACUGCUGGAAACGGUAGCUAAUACCGCAUACCAUCGAAUGUGCCCAGAUGGGAUUAGCUAGGCGGUGGGGUAACGGCUCACCUGGGCAACGAUCCCUAGCUGGUCUGCGAGGAUGACCAGCAACACUGGAACUGAGACACGGUCCAGACUCCUACGGGAGGCAGCAGUGGGGAAUAUUGCACAAUGGGCGCAAGCCUGAUGCAGCCAUGCCGCGUGUAUGAAGAAGGCCUUCGGGUUGUAAAGUACUUUCAGCGAGGAGGCGUUACUCGCAGAAGAAGCACCGGCUAACUCCGUGCCAGCAGCCGCGGUAAUUC
rnacentral:rRNA from 1 species